GCAUCGGCCUUUUUAAAGGCCACAAAAUUAAUCUUUGUAGCGCCAU
rfam:Flavobacteria bacterium MS024-3C ctg91, whole genome shotgun sequence.